GACAGAGGCCUCGAGCGUUAGGCGGAAUCACUGGGCUUAAAGCGUGUGUAGGCGGGUCCGUAAGUGUCUUGUGAAAUCCCACGGCUCAACCGUGGAACUGCUGGGCAUACUGCGGGUCUUGGGCCAACUAGGGGCAGCCGGAACAAACGGUGGAGCGGUGAAAUGCGUAGAUAUCGUUUGGAACGCCAAUGGUGAAAACAGGUUGCUGGGAGUGUGCUGACGCUGAGACACGAAAGCCAGGGGAGCAAACGGG
rnacentral:rRNA from 1 species